rnacentral:rRNA from 1 species
UACGAAGGGGGCUAGCGUUGCUCGGAAUCACUGGGCGUAAAGGGUGCGUAGGCGGGUCUUUUAAGUCAGGGGUGAAAUCCUGGAGCUCAACUCCAGAACUGCCUUUGAUACUGAAGAUCUUGAGUUCGGGAGAGGUGAGUGGAACUGCGAGUGUAGAGGUGAAAUUCGUAGAUAUUCGCAAGAACACCAGUGGCGAAGGCGGCUCACUGGCCCGAUACUGACGCUGAGGCACGGAAAGCGUGGGGAGCAACAGGG